CUCUGAAACAGCAGAAAUCACAUACUGGCACCGACUGGCACAGACACACCGGCUACGGGGGGAGGCGAAAACAGCUGGCCUGGCAAAACUCAGCUUGUUGGGGAGUAUUGCGGUUGUUGAAUCGAUUGAGGGGAUUCAAGACAACCUGUGCCAGAUGCAGCAAAGCAGCCCCAGAACGUAACUGAGCCUCCUCCAUGUUUCACAAAGUCAACACCAUCUCUGCCAAGCUGUCGGACAUGUCAGGAUCCGUGCCGAGCCGGGCCCGAGUUUACACUGAGGUCAACACUCACCGGCCCAGGGAGUACUGGGACUAUGAGUCCCACGUGGUUGAAUGGGGAAACCAGGAUGACUUCCAGUUGGUGAGGAAGCUAGGGCGUGGCAAGUACAGUGAAGUCUUUGAGGCAAUCAACAUCACCAAUAACGAGAAGGUGGUGGUGAAGAUACUCAAGCCUGUGAAGAAAAAGAAAAUCAAGCGCGAGAUUAAGAUUUUGGAGAACCUACGAGGAGGUCCGAACAUCAUCUCCCUCAUCGAUAUAGUGAAAGACCCUGUCUCCCGGACACCUGCUUUGGUCUUUGAACAUGUCAACAACACAGACUUCAAGCAACUUUACCAGACCCUGACAGACUACGACAUCCGGUUCUACAUGUGUGAGAUCCUCAAGGCCCUGGACUACUGCCACAGCAUGGGAAUCAUGCAUAGAGAUGUGAAGCCACAUAACGUUAUGAUCGAUCACGAACACCGUAAGUUGCGCCUUAUUGACUGGGGCCUGGCUGAGUUUUACCACCCCGGACAGGAGUACAAUGUCAGAGUUGCCUCCCGCUACUUUAAAGGACCUGAGCUGCUGGUGGACUAUCAGAUGUAUGACUACAGUCUGGAUAUGUGGAGCCUUGGCUGUAUGCUGGCAAGCAUGAUCUUUAGGAAGGAGCCUUUCUUCCAUGGCCAUGACAACUAUGACCAGUUGGUGAGAAUAGCCAAGGUUCUGGGAACUGAAGACCUCUACGAUUACAUUGACAAGUAUAACAUUGAGCUGGAACCUCGCUUCAAUGACAUUCUAGGAAGGCAUUCUCGCAAGCGGUGGGAAAGGUUUGUCCACAGUGAAAACCAGUCCCUGGUCAGCCCAGAGGCUCUGGAUUUCCUGGACAAGCUGCUGCGCUAUGACCACCAGGCCCGCCUGACUGCCCACGAGGCCAUGGAUCAUCCUUAUUUCUUCCCCGUUGUGAAAGAUCAGUCUCGUGUGGCCGGAUCAGCCAACCUGCCCAGUGGGAACAUAGCUGUUAGCACAACCAGCAUGAUCACUGGUAUCUCUGCCUUGCCAGCCUCCACUGCCCUGGGCCCUCUCACUGGCUCGCCGGUCCUGUCUGCUGCCACCAAUGUCCUGAGCACCCCGGUGCCUGCUGCUGCUGGUGCCCCACAGUGACACCCCCCAUCUAAAUCCACAUUCAUCCCACCUCAUCUCUCCCAUCAUCGCCCAGUUUGGGGGGGUGGACUAGACAGACGGGACCUACAUAUGGUAGGAGGAUGAUGAAGUGGUAUCUCGCCACAAAAGUGGUAGAUGCUGCAGAGUCACGAAUUGGAUCAGUGCUCAGAACUAUGCAUCAGCCUUACCAUGAAGCCAGACGUCAGGAUGCCCGCAAUCUCGAUCCCACACCCUAUCAAGCUGACUACAUGGGUCACAAGUUUCAAAUGGACCGAAACGAAAAACUGUCUAUGUUUGGGGUCACCCAUAUUUUAGCCAUUGAUGGCUUCAGCAAAAAAGUUGUGGCUCAUUCUACAAUGCCUAUAAAAAAUAACCUUGCAUCUAUGGAGAUGUUUUCAGGUAAUAACCAAUGUAUUGUUGUGGACACUAAAGGGAUAAUCUGUAAUUUCUUAAAGACAGUGGUUGUUGGCCAAUAUAUAUAAUAUACUGUAUCAGGGAUAAGAGAGAGAAUAUAAUAAUAAUACUUCUUAAGUUUUCUAUAAAAAUGAUACAUCAUAUUCAGGGUUAAAAUGAAACAUCAACAGAAAACAGAUGGCAUACAUGGUUCAAAAAUAGGAUUUUAAAUUGCUUAAUUAACCAAAUGCAAUCAAAUAUGUGUUGUGAAACUAUGUAUUUAAAAUUAUCUUCAGUGAAACUGGAUUAAGGCACUAAUUAGCAUGUGGCAGAGAACCUAAAUACAAAUCAAAGUCAUUUAAUUCAGAUAAAUCAAUGCAUGAUAUUUGAAAAUCCUUAGCAAAUUCAAUCAAUAGGCAUUGAACACUUUCUUGAUGGUCCUGAGGGCCAUGUUGGAGCUGACCGGUGGAUUUUUAACCCCAGUAGCCGCUCUCGUCCUGAAGAUGUCUUUGUCUUCAUGUGUAAUUUGUCAACAAGUAUUCAUUCUCUUAUUUAUAACACUGUGUAUUUUACUCUUUUUCCCUUUCUCAAUUAUUCUUUUAUUUUACUUCAUUUUACGAUUAAUAUAAGACGAAAUAUUCCUGUUGGGUGUUAGAACAGUGAAAUGGAUAGCAGAAAUUGCACUACUACAUUGUUCUUUGUUUUUGUUUUUUCAGAGUGUGUAUGUGAUUUAUACUCAUCCUCCUUAUCCUCAGUUGGAAUCUGACUUUUGCGUUUCUCUGAUUGAUCCUCUGGGGAUCAUCAUCACAAGAAAACUCCAAUACAGUUAUAAUCAGUCUCAGGCCUUUUCAGGCCUCAACACAUCACUGUGUGCUCGACCUUUGACCUAUGAGCUGGUCCUCGUCGUCAUUUAACACCUGAGAAGGUUCUCUCUACCUGUGAGACAGGGAAACAUUCUCCAGAGAUUGGAGAGAUUUGAUUAACACAUUCGUUUGAUUUAAAUUAAUAGAAACAUGUAAUCCCAACGAUGUUUCCAGGAAUCUGUGGAGGAGCUGUAAAUUAAAUCUUUUUAGCAUUGUUGUUAGUUUGUUAGUUUGCUUGUUUUUUUAACAUGCAGUAUACAUACAAUAUCAUACAUACUGAUAUACUCAUUUCCUCAUCAGUCCAGAGAAGUGUGACCUUUUUGGGUGAUACUCUCUGUUAGAACUCAUGAGGACUUAGUUCAGUUGCUGCAUUCUCUGUACUGCAGAUGAAAUAUAGAACAAUGGUCAAUGUUCAUUCUCUCAUUGUCACUUUCAUAGCCUUGACAUCUUGGCAUAUGUAUCAAAUCUAUUUUCAUAGUUUUUUAUGAUAGUAACAAUUGACAAUUUUCAUUCUGAUAAUAAUGAUAAAUGACUUUCAGUUUAUAAUAAUACAUUACUAUUUUAAUUUGAUGGAGGCUGUAAGUGGUCGUGUUUCACUGAACCUUUCUUUCUCUACUUGUACUAUAUUGUGUGUAACUAGAACAAAUCAUGUAACCUAAUAAAUAAUCCAUUCCCCCUUUU